rnacentral:rRNA from 1 species
AACGAACGCUGGCGGCAUGCCUAACACAUGCAAGUCGAACGAGACCUUCGGGUCUAGUGGCGCACGGGUGCGUAACGCGUGGGAACCUGCCCUUAGGUUCGGAAUAACUCCCCGAAAGGGGUGCUAAUACCGGAUAAUGUCUUCGGACCAAAGAUUUAUCGCCUUUGGAUGGGCCCGCGUUGGAUUAGCUAGUUGGUAGGGUAAAAGCCUACCAAGGCGACGAUCCAUAGCUGGUCUGAGAGGAUGAUCAGCCACACUGGGACUGAGACACGGCCCAGACUCCUACGGGAAGCAGCAGUAGGGAAUAUUAGACAAUGGGCAAAAGCCUGAUCCAGCAAUGCCGCGUGAGUGAUGAAGGCCUUAGGGUUGUAAAGCUCUUUUACCCGGGAUGAUAAUGACAGUACCGGGAGAAUAAGCUCCGGCUAACUCCGUG